ACAAAUUGUGCUCCUUUAUCAAAGUGGCUGGCUUGCUAACAAUACCACAAUUGACAACACACAAUGUUUCAUCGCCUCCACUUGGCUACGGUGGUCCUCAGUCUCAUCUCGUAUAAAAUGUUCUCACCAAUAUCAUCGAACACCUGAACGGUGCGGCGACCUACGCGAGGAUCCUGUUUGUGGACUUCAGGUCUGCGUUCAACAGCAUCAUCCCCGAACUCCUCUCCUCCAAGCUUCUCCAGCUCAGCGUCUCGCCUGCCAUCUGCCAGUGGAUUUACAGCUUCCUGACAAGCAGGACACAGCAGCUGUGGAAGCGGCCGACACAACCUGGAGCUGAACGUGCUCGAGAGAUGAUCGUGGAUUUCAGGACACAUCCAUGGCCAGAGCUGCCCAUCACGCUGUCCCACUGCACCAUGUCAACUGUCAAGACCUCAAAGUUCCAGUCUCUCAGGACCCAAAGUGGACAUAAAAAAAAAAAAAAAAAAAAAUCAACGCCAUCCUCAAAAAGGCCCAGCAGAGCAUAGGGCAUCUACCCUACUUCCCUUGAGAACUUCCAGACUGCCAGAACUAAGACAAGACCAUGCAAAAUCCUCUUGGACUCUCCAUAUCCAGCUCCUUCCCUCAGAGAGGCGCGAUUGAACAAUGCAAACUAAAACCAGC